rnacentral:rRNA from 1 species
AACGAACGCUGGCGGCGUGGAUAAGACAUGCAAGUCGAACGGGACAGACCGAGUAGCAAGAUUUGGAAUGUUCAGUGGCGAACGGGUGCGUAACACGUGGAUAACAUUCCGGAAAGCGGGGAAUAGCCCAGGGAAACUUGGAUUAAUACCGCAUGUGGCCGCAAGGCUAAAGACGGGGACCGCAAGGCCUGUCACUUUCCGAUUGGUCCGCGGCCUAUCAGCUAGUUGGCGGGGUAAUGGCCCACAAAGGCUACGACGGGUAGCUGGUCUUAGAGGACGACCAGCCACACUGGAACUGAGACACGGUCCAGACACCUACGGGUGGCAGCAGUCGAGAAUCUUUCACAAUGGGGGCAACCCUGAUGGAGCGACGCCGCGUGGAGGAUAAGGUCUUCGGAUUGUAAACUCCUGUCGUGCGAGAACAAGGUACUCAGGCUAAUAACCUGAUUGUUUGAUGGUACCGCAAGAGGAAGAGACGGCUAACUCUGUGCCAGCCGCCGCGGUAAAAC